CGGGGUGUCACUAGGCGGCAGCAGGCCAAGGAGCGUCGCUGCUGCCAGCUGAGAACAGCCUACAAUCUUGGAAUCAGACUGCCUGGGUUCAGUUCUUACAAGCUGCUGUGGCUUUGGAAGCGCCGAGGCUCAGGCAGCAGGCAACCAAGCAGGAGAGAAAACGGGCAGGUGAGAGAAAAAGCUCAGCAGGACAGAAAGCCAGGACACAGAGUUAGUGACCGAGGGCCCCUGCGCACCAGGACGCCGCGAGAGCAGGCCCCAGCGCCUCAGGGCAGGUGCGCCAUCCUCUCCCAACCUCGCCCUUCACCUCCAGCUCCAGCUGGAGAGCUGCUCUGCGUG